rnacentral:rRNA from 1 species
UAGGGAAUCUUCCACAAUGGACGCAAGUCUGAUGGAGCAACGCCGCGUGAGUGAAGAAGGUUUUCGGAUCGUAAAGCUCUGUUGUUGGUGAAGAAGGAUAGAGGCAGUAACUGGUCUUUAUUUGACGGUAAUCAACCAGAAAGUCACGGCUAACUACGUGCCAGCAGCCGCGGUAAUACGUAGGUGUCAAGCGUUGUCCGGAUUUAUUGGGCGUAAAGCGAGCGCAGGCGGAAUGAUAAGUCUGAUGUGAAAGCCCACGGCUCAACCGUGGAACUGCAUCGGAAACUGUCAUUCUUGAGUGCAGAAGAGGAGAGUGGAAUUCCAUGUGUAGCGGUGGAAUGCGUAGAUAUAUGGAAGAACACCAGUGGCGAAGGCGGCUCUCUGGUCUGCAACUGACGCUGAGGCUCGAAAGCAUGGGUAGCGAACAGG